rnacentral:rRNA from 1 species
CGGACGGGUGAGUAACGCGUGGGUAACCUGCCCUGUACAGGGGGAUAACAGUUAGAAAUGACUGCUAACACCGCAUAAGCGCACGGUAAGGCAUCUUAGUGUGUGAAAAUAUUCAUAGGUACAGGAUGGGCCCGCGUCUGAUUAGCCAGUUGGCAGGGUAACGGCCUACCAAAGCGACGAUCAGUAGCCGGCUUGAGAGAGUGAACGGCCACAUUGGGACUGAGACACGGCCCAAACUCCUACGGGAGGCAGCAG